GACGAACGCUGGCGGCAUGCCUAAUACAUGCAAGUCGAGCGGACAGAAGGGAGCUUGCUCCCGAAAGUCAGCGGCGGACGGGUGAGUAACACGUGGGCAACCUGCCCCUUAGAUUGGGAUAACUUCGGGAAACCGAAGCUAAUACCGAAUAAUACAAGGAACCUCCUGGUUCUCUGUUGAAAGAUGGCCUUUGUGCUGUCACUAAGGGAUGGGCCCGCGGAGCAUUAGCUAGUUGGUAAGGUAACGGCUUACCAAGGCGACGAUGCGUAGCCGACCUGAGAGGGUGAUCGGCCACACUGGGACUGAGACACGGCCCAGACUCCUGCGGGAGGCAGCAGUAGGGAAUCUUCCGCAAUGGACGAAAGUCUGACGGAGCAAUGCCGCGUGAGUGAGGAAGGCCUUCGGGUCGUAAAGCUCUGUUGUGAGGGAAUAACAAGUACCGGCGUAACUACCGGUACCGUGACGGUACCUCACCAGAAAGCCACGGCUAACUACGUGCCAGCAGCCGCCGUAA
rnacentral:rRNA from 1 species